rnacentral:SRP_RNA from 2 species
GCCAGGCGUGGUGGCGGGCUCCCGUAGUCCCAGCCACUCAGGAGGCUGAGGCGGGAGAAUGGCGUGAACCCGGGAGGCGGAGGUUGCAGUGAGCCGAGAUCGCGCCACAGCACUCCAGCCUGGGCGAAGAGCGAGACUCCGUCUCAAAAAAAAAAAAUUAAUACUUUUUUUUUUUUUUUGAGACGGACUCUCACUCUGUCACCCAGGUUGGAGUGCAAUGGUGUGAUCUCGGCUCACUGCAACCUCCCCCUCCCGGGUUCGAGCGAUUCUCCCGCCUCAG